rnacentral:rRNA from 1 species
CAGCCGCCGCGGUAAUACGUAGGGUGCGAGCGUUAAUCGGAUUUACUGGGCGUAAAGCGUGCGCAGGCGGCCCGUUAAGACAGGUGUGAAAUCCCUGGGCUCAACCUAGGAAUUGCGCUUGUGACUGGCGGGCUCGAGUACGGUAGAGGGGGGUGGAAUUCCUGGUGUAGCAGUGAAAUGCGUAGAGAUCAGGAGGAACACCGAUGGCGAAGGCAGCCCCCUGGGCCUGUACUGACGCUCAUGCACGAAAGCGUGGGGAGCAAACAGGAUUAGAUACCCUGGUAGUCCACGCCCUAAACGAUGGGUACUAGCCGUUUGGUGCGCGAUAGCGCUGAGUGGCGAAGCUAACGCGUGAAGUACCCCGCCUGGGGAGUACGGCCGCAAGGUUGAAACUUAAGGGAAUUGGCGGG